rnacentral:rRNA from 1 species
CCUACGGGCGGCAGCAGUGGGGAAUAUUGCACAAUGGGGGAAACCCUGAUGCAGCGACGCCUCGUGGGUGACGAAGUAUUUCGGUAUGUAAAGCCCUAUCAGCAGGGAAGAAGAUGACAGUACCUGACUCAGAAGCCCCGUCUAACUACGUGCCAGCAGCCGCGGUAAGACGUCGGGGGCAAGCGUUAUCCGGAUUUACUGGGGGUUAAGGGAGCGUAGGUGGCAUGGCAAGCCAGAAGUGAAAAUCCGGGGCUUAACCCCGCGGAUUGCUUUUGGACCUGUCAGGCUGGAGUGCAGGAGGGGCAGGCGGAAUUCGUGGUGUAGCGGUGAAAUGCGUAGAUAUCAGGAGGAACACCGGUGGCGAAGGCGGACUGCGGGACUGUAACUGACACUGAGGCUCGAAAGCGUGGGGAGCAAACAGGAUUAGAUACCCCGGUAGUC